UUCCGUAGGUGAACCUGCGGAAGGAUCAUUGUUAACUUAUGAGGAAAUGACUAGAGAACUUAUUUUUGCAUCAUUAUAAACUCUUCCUUCAAACAGUAAUACCAGUAUUAAGAGUAUAAUCUUUUUAUUGUAUUGUUUGUUUGAUGGGAAGAGGUGUUGCCUUCGCUCCGAUGUUUCUGUGGGUUGGCAAAUAAUUUCGGACACGGAAUGUGUCAAGGAUAUAGAUUGCUCAUCACAAUAUGAUCUUGAAUUGGGGUUGUUUUUUCCCUCAUUCAAAACGUGCAUGGUGGCAUCAAAUAUUUUGAUAAUAUGACUCUCGACAAUGGAUAUCUAGGCUCUUGCAUCGAUGAAGAACGUAGCGAAAUGCGAUACUUGAUGUGAAUUGCAGAAUCCCGUGAAUCAUCAAUUUUUUGAACGCAAGUUGCGCCUGCAACCUCUUGGUUGCGGGCACGUCCGCUUGGGUGUCACACUUUAUGUUGCUCCAUCCAACAACAAGUUAGACGGAAGCGAAUAUUGGCUCACCGUGCUUUUAUUCGUGGUGAGCUCAAGUAUGAGAUGUCAAUGGAGUGGUAAAUGACGCUUGGUGGGCAGAAGAAUAAGUCUGAUGUUCGGUGUCGUUCUCUCCUUGGCAUGUUCUUGUGCAAAUGUGUUGAAGGGUUAUCCUUGAAUGCAAUUGUAGCAUUCUUUUCCCUUGUAUUGUGACCUCAGGUCAGACGGGACUACCCGC
rnacentral:rRNA from 1 species